UGACCUCAAAUCGGGUGAGACUACCCGCUGAACUUAAGCAUAUCAAUAAGCGGAGGAAAAGGAACUAACAAGGAUUCCCCUAGUAACUGCGAGUGAAGCGGGAAAAGCUCAAAUUUAAAAUCUGAUGGCCCUCCCGCCAUCCGAGUUGUAAUUUAGAGAAGCGUCUUCCGCGCUGGACCAUGCAUAAGUCUCCUGGAAUGGAGCGUCAUAGAGGGUGAGAAUCCCGUCUUUGGCAUGGACCCCAGGGCUUUUGCGAUGCGCUCUCAAAGAGUCGAGUUGUUUGGGAAUGCAGCUCAAAAUGGGUGGUGAACUCCAUCUAAAGCUAAAUAUUGGCGAGAGACCGAUAGCGAACAAGUACCGUGAGGGAAAGAUGAAAAGCACUUUGGAAAGAGAGUGAAACAGUACGUGAAAUUGUUGAAAGGGAAACGCUUGAAGUCAGUCGCGUCGACCGAGACUCAGCCUUGCCUCGGCUUGGUGUACUUCUCGGCUGACGGGUCAGCAUCGAUUUUGACCCUUGGAUAAUGGUGGGGGAAAGGUGGCACCUUUGCGGGUGUGUUAUAGUCCUCUAUCGGAUGUGGGGGUCAGGAUCGAGGAACUCAGCAUGCACCUCUCGGUGUCGGGGCCUCGGCCCACGUAUACGUGCUU
rnacentral:rRNA from 1 species